rnacentral:misc_RNA from 1 species
GAUGAAGAACGUAGCGAAAUGCGAUAAGUAAUGUGAAUUGCAGAAUUCAGUGAAUCAUCGAAUCUUUGAACGCACAUUGCGCCCCCUGGUAUUCCGGGGGGCAUGCCUGUUCGAGCGUCAUUUCACCACUCAAGCCUCGCUUGGUAUUGGGCAACGCGGUCCGCCGCGUGCCUCAAAUCGUCCGGCUGGGUCUUCUGUCCCCUAAGCGUUGUGGAAACUAUUCGCUAAAGGGUGUUCUGGAGGCUACGCCGUAAAACAACCCCAUUUCUAAGGUUGACCUCGGAUCAGGUAGGGAUACCCGCUGAACUUAAGCAUAUCAAUAGCGGAGGA